UUUGUACCCUUCCCCAUCCUCGUCCCCUUCAUCUGGGCUUGCCCCCUUUCCGUGCAUCUCCUUCGCUGUUCUUCCAGGUCAUGCAAAAUCCAAAUCUCAAGAGGAACCAAAAAUAAAACCCAAAUCUCAAGUCGAGGUCGCCUCGAUCGUUUUCCGCGAAAUCCCAACAGCCAAAUCCAUGUCUUCUUUAUUCCGAUGGGUAGCGAUGGGUAACCUAGAAGAGGGGACGAGCUAGUGCGGCCAUCGGGGAUGAGGGAAGGGACGAAGCUCUGGCAUGAACGGAGUGGGUUUAACGGUGAGAAGUGGCUACUGUAAAGCAAAACCCAUAAGAAGUGGGUUUGACGGCGAGAACCCAGACGCGUGUUUUCACUGAGAGAGGUUGAUUUCAAAGAACGUCGAUGAGGAAGACUAUCCCAUGUGGCCGCCAGCUAUAGGUACUGAAAAUUUACUUUCAAUAUCAUCUUAGUCCGACCAAAUCAUAAAACUGAUACAUAAAGUCCAUCACACGUACUAAAAAGAAUAACUUUGUAUUAAUGAAUAUGAACUAUGCAUCAUUCAGAUUGUCAAAGAAAGAAGACAAUCUAGUGGGAAUUGGAUUUUGAUGUCUAAUGCAAGCAGGAAUGGGAAGAUAUUGUAAUGGACAAAACAAAUGAAAGAAUUAGUCCAGCUCUCCUAGAUAUAAGAUAUAAAGAACUAAUAACAAAAUGUACACAAUACUAGAUGAAGACCAAGGUAUGCUGGCACGGAAUUCACAAUAGUGAAUCUUGAGGCACUUGAAUAAUUGAUAUUAUAGAAUCGACUUCAAAACCAUAGAGAACCCCUUGAAAAUUUUCAAGCCCAGAAUUUCCUCUAAAAUAAAGAUCCUUCAACUUCAUAAAUGUUUGUAGAGUUAGCAGGCUAUCAGACCCAGCUUGGUGAUGCUUCCCAACUACACGAUCCACAUUCAAUGUCUUAGCCACUCUUUCUAGGCCACCAUAUAAGCCAUUGCAGAACUUAAUUAUAUGCUUCAUGUCAUAAAUUUUGGGUCCAAAUAACUGAGCCACCAAGUGUCUAAACAAGUGAAUGUUAGGAGGCAAUUGUUCCCUGACUAGAAGCUUGAUUAGGAACCCAAAAUCAUAAGAACUGUGGAAUGUGACCCAUGUGAGAUGAGAAUUGAACAACAAUCCAGAUUUUAAAAGAAAAGUCCGGAAAAUCCGUGACGGAAUACCCUCUUUCUUGUUUUUCAAGAAAUCAAUCCCUUGUUUCUCCAAUAGUUGAAUGGACUUGGCAUUAUGUUGAUCCCGCUCAACGUCGAAAUCACUGAAAUUGAAUUGCCAAACAUGUCCAUUUUGUGUUCCAAAGUGAGGUAGAUUCCCAUUAGAAUCAGUUAGGGUAAGACCUAGUUGGAUGAUGUUCAAAACGUCGACAUUGGCCUUCACGAAACUAUAAGUAUCUGAAGGAGACAGCUUUGAGUGAAAGGCCUGAUCAACAUUCGGAGUAAAAAUGGUGCCAGGAAACUCAGUGUCAAAGGAGGCAAAAGAGCAGCUAGGUAUAACAGCAUGGAUCAAAGACAACUCGCUAUGUAUAUUCGAAGUCCAGACUUCACGAACAAUCACGUUCGUUCCCUUGGGAGUCAUGGUUGCUUCAGCUUUUUCUUUUAGAAAAUUGUAGGGAGAAUGCAAGUCUUCUCAAUUCUGUGACAAUGGACAAAACAUAGAAGAAUCACGUUAGAAUAAGCUAAAAGUUAGUUGAGACUAAGAACCAAAUAGAAUAUUUAGUCAAACAACACAAAAAGGAAGAUGGCUCAUGUUGGAUACAAGAUUUAGCAUCCAUAUGGUUUCACAUUGGUUUUGGUGGUUUCUAAUGUGAAACCAAACAUGCUCUUAAUGUGUUGCAUGACCAAAAGAAAAUUUUAAUAAAAUAGUGUGGCUACUAAAAUUGAUUUUAAACUAGGAGCUAGCAGCAAAGACUGCAAAAAAUAUAGAAGCAUUGAUCAUGUUGAUAUGCAGCUUGUUAAGUAGGAAGCGAGAUUGUGAGUUGUGGCUCAUAAUGAUGCAUAAUUAAACCACAGAAUAACAAACAGUUAAAUGAUAUUUUCUUAUUAAGAAUUUACUGUAAACGUAACUUUAGAGUCACUAUCUCUUUUUCACACAUCAAAAUCCGAUUGUUUGCAUUAGACAUUGAAGAGACAAAUUAAAUAACUGGGAUCAAUGGCAUUGCAGCCCCGAUACGCCUUAGAAACAGAACAAAAUUUAAAACAUUCGUAUUGCUUGUUAAACUGUAAGUUUUUUUUCAGUCCAAGUUAUCUGACACUAAGGAGCAACAUUCCUUGAAUAAUAAUCACCCAUAAAAUGGAAAGCCAGAACAGCAAGGUAUGCCUAUACUACUUAUAUUCCUGUCACGGAGAAAAUGGAUAAAUUAGGCAGUUAUAAAUAUUAUGUGUUGAUAGCUGAGUGACCUAACACAGUAAAAAUCUUAUCUUUUGUUACGUUUACAUAAAUUUUCUUUCAAAUACACACUAACAUGUUGGGUUAGCCAAAACCAAUAGACCCCCACCUCUAAUUAGGGUUGGCCGAACCAAAACUGAGCUGAGUGAGUAAUCCGCCGUCAGCCAAACAAACGGCAGGGACCGAGAACGGAAGGCCAAGAACGAACCACGACAGACAGCAACGGUUAGCCUUUUUGACUUAUCGAUGAAGGAGAGCGUUUCUGAUGAAAUUGGCGCGUGGCCGCGUGCGGUAUGCUGAUGAGAUAGCGCUGAUCAGAAUUUUGACGAUUUGACUCUCCAGUCCUGUCGCAGUAAAUAAAUAGAUAGAUAAAUUUUGGGAGAUAUUUAUUUAAAAAUAAACAUAUCAUUAUUCUUUUCUUGAUAUAUGUAUGUGUGUAUAUAUUAAUUGAUAUCUUUUUUUUUUGCCGACCUAUUAAUUGAUAUCUCUAAACAUCUUCUGAAAAGUAAUAUUAAUUGAAGUCUAUUUGAGUAAUUUUUUUUUAA